AACGAACGCUGGCGGCGUGGAUAAGACAUGCAAGUCGGACGCUGAUUGCCGGGUAGCAAUAUUCGGCAGUCGGAGUGGCGUAAGGGUGCGUAACACGUGGGUAAUCUGCCCUGAAGUUGGGGAUAACUCGCUGAAAGGCGAGCUAAUACCGAAUGUGGAUCUUGGGUGGCAUCGCCUGAGAUCCAAAGUUGGGGACCGUAAGGCCUGACGCUUCAGGAUGAGCCCGCGGCCUAUCAGCUUGUUGGUGAGGUAACGGCUCACCAAGGCUAAGACGGGUAGCUGGUCUGAGAGGACGACCAGCCACACUGGAACUGAGACACGGUCCAGACACCUACGGGUGGCAGCAGUCGAGAAUUUUUCACAAUGGGCGAAAGCCUGAUGGAGCGACGCCGCGUGGGGGAUGAAUGGCUUCGGCCCGUAAACCCCUGUCAUUUGCGAACAAACCUUGACCGCUAACACCGGUCGAGCUGAUUGUAGCGAAAGAGGAAGGGACGGCUAACUCUGUGC
rnacentral:rRNA from 1 species